AUUGAACGCUGGCGGCAUGCCUUACACAUGCAAGUCGAACGGCAGCACGGGUGCGUGCACCUGGUGGCGAGUGGCGAACGGGUGAGUAAUACAUCGGAACAUGUCCUGUAGUGGGGGAUAGGCCGGCGAAAGCCGGAUUAAUACCGCAUACGAUCUACGGAUGAAAGCGGGGGACCUUCGGGCCUCGCGCUAUAGGGUUGGCCGAUGGUUGUUUAGUUAGUUGGUGGGGUAAAGGCCAACGAAGACGACGAGCAGUAGCUGGUCUGAGAGGCGGACCAGCCACACUGGGACUGAGCAACGGCCCAGACUCCUACGGGAGGCAGCGUAGGGGAAUUUUGGACAAUGGGCGAAAGCCUGAUCCAGCAAUGCCGCGUGUGUGAAGAAGGCCUUCGGGUUGUAAAGCACUUUUGUCCGGAAAGAAAUCCUUGGCCCUAAUACGGUCGGGGGAUGACGGUACCGGAAGAAUAAGCACCGGCUAACUACGUG
rnacentral:rRNA from 1 species